GUAGAUAAUUUGUUUGUGAUAUUGGUCAACCUAUGAGGACAAAGAGAUAUGGGGUCGAUCUAAUUGUUAUAAUUCCACAAAACCAUAUUCGUCACUCACUUUCCUUCCUUUGCUUAAAUAAUCCGAUCCCCACAGCCCUACUACUCCAACUCUCCCUCCUAAAAAAGAAUACCAUAUUCUUUUGCCUCCACGCUCAGACUUUUUUUUUUUUAUAAAUAUUUUGUAAUUAAUUUGUUGCUACAACAACAAUAAUAUUAUUAGAGAGAUCGAUGGGUUUUGAUCAUGAAGCUUGUAACACUGGCCUUGGACUCAGCCUAGGUUGUCAAGGUAAUCCAGAUCAUCAUACAAAAUUUGCAGGCUUUCGAUCUCGAUCACCAAAAGAAGAAGAAAAAUACAGUUGAAAUAUGAUCACCUAUUGCCGGCUCUAACCCUAGGUCCAUCUUCCGGGGCUUCGAAGAUCGAGGCCGCCAAAUCGGAUGAUCAUUUGCUCCAAGUAGUAUAUGUGCAAGCACAAGAACGGGCCUCUUCUCCCUGCAGCGGCGCCGUUUCUUCGUUCUCCAACUCAUCUAGUUUCAAGAGGGACAGAGGUUUGGGUGUUGAAGAAAUAGAGGGAGAGGUAGAAGAAGAUAGAGUAGUAGUGAAUAUCACUACUUCAUCAAGAGUAAGCGACGAAUUAUAUGAUCAAGAUCAAGAUCACGAGGGCAGUCCUAGAAAGAAACUCAGACUUACAAAAGAACAAUCUGCCACUUUAGAGGACAGCUUCAGAGAGCACACUACUCUCAAUCCAAAACAAAAACAAGAACUGGCAAGAAAGCUAAACUUACGCCCACGACAAGUUGAAGUCUGGUUCCAAAACAGGAGGGCUAGGACCAAGUUGAAGCAAACAGAAGCAGAGUGCGAGUUGUUGAAACAAUGUUGUGAAACAUUGAAAGAUGAGAACAGAAGGCUACACAAGGAGUUGCAAGAGCUCAAAUUAAUGAAACAUACAGCAACAGCAGCAGCACCCCUUUACAUGAAGUUUCCAACUGCCACUCUCACCAUGUGUCCCUCCUGUGAGAAAAUCUGCAACGGCGGCGAUCAUUAUAAUCAUAAUCACGAGUCAUCGACAAGUCCAUUUUUAGUCGGGUCGAAUAAGACUCACUUGAUCUUCAACCCCUACAGCACUCAUCCAUCUACAGCUUGCUAGCUAUAGUCUGCUGCCAAAUUAAUUAAGGCCAGAUUAUCACUAGCUAGCCUUUUUUAAUUUAUUUUAUUUUAUUUUAUUAUGAAUGCAGCAUGCAUAGUUCGAUUUAAUUUGUGCAGAAUGAAGUUUAACGGUAGAGGUUAAGUAAUUUCUGUCUCUUAUUUACGAAUAUUAUUUUGGGCAUGUAUAUGUUAUUAUACUUUGCGAUUUUAGCUAGUCUCUCCUCAUGUCAAGGAUGUCUUUGUUUUCUUGCGUCUUGUCCAAUGACAAAUCUAGCUAGGUUUACAGUACGUAAUGUCACUGUUAUGGCAUGGGCAAUUUGUGGAUCAUAAUUAACAAUAUGGUUUAAUAUGAGAAUGAUGUUUACAUAUGUA